rnacentral:misc_RNA from 1 species
UCCUCUAAUCUAAUGUGCUCUACUCUCCACCAAGCCUUCGUGUAAAUUUUAUGUUUAGUUUAAAACAAUUAGAACACAAAUAUCAUAUGAAUUAGAAUUGAGUUUAUAUGACGAUUCAAUAAUUUAAUUUGAAGCUGCUUUAUUUGAAUUUGAUCCAUCUAACACUGAUUGUUAACCUAGAAAUUAAAAUAAUAAAAUUAAAUUAACAUUUUAAUUGAAAAAUUUCACGACUCAAAUAAAUUUAAAUAUGGUUUAAUUUUUUUUUAUAACCAUUCAAUAAAUAACUCUGGUCAACUUAUUAAUUGAGAUAAUCUACUCCCACUCACUAAUUUUCACACAAUUAUAUUUUUUGGACGUGAUUUUUAUUUAUUUUAAAAUAAAAAUUUUAAAUUAGAAAGAAUUUAACUGCUUUCAAAAAAAUUAGAAAGAAUUUAAUUCUUUCGCCUAUUAAAUUUGUAAGCAAGAAAAUUAAUUAAAAAAUAAAUUAAAAUGAGUUCUCAUGAAAUUCUAGUGUUCAAACAAAUAUGAAAAAAGCAAGACUUGAAAUAAUCAUUAGCUACUUCCAUUUGCAUAUAAAUAUGGACUUGCCAAUUUAAAAAACGAUAAAUUAUUCUUGGAAUUCACUCAUAAAAUGUCUAGAAUAAAAAUGUCUAGAAUUUGAAACCUUGUGACUUUAUUUAUUAGUAAAUAUUUUAAUAUAAGAUAACGUUAACUUGAGAGAGAGAGAGAGAGAG